UUACAACGUGUUCUGCUUAAAGGCCUGAAACAACAAGAAUCUAGAGUGUAGAUAACAUGUGUCUAGAUAGUGAAUGUCAUUAGCGCUGCAACUAUGUGAUGAAUUGUUUUCCCCCUCCCUUUGAGAAGUUGCAGCGCCCGGUGUAAGAGGGUUUCUAAAAGCAAUAAAAAGCGAA